rnacentral:rRNA from 1 species
CCUACGGGAGGCAGCAGUGAGGAAUAUUGGUCAAUGGGCGGGAGCCUGAACCAGCCAAGUCGCGUGAGGGACGACGGUCCUAUGGAUUGUAAACCUCUUUUGUCGGGGAACAAAGGCGCCCACGGGUGGGCGGAUGAGUGUACCCGAAGAAAAAGCAUCGGCUAACUCCGUGCCAGCAGCCGCGGUAAUACGGAGGAUGCGAGCGUUAUCCGGAUUUACUGGGUGUAAAGGGAGCGUAGACGGCAGCGCAAGUCUGGAGUGAAAUCCCAUGGCUUAACCAUGGAACUGCUUUGGAAACUGUGCAGCUAGAGUGCAGGAGAGGUAAGCGGAAUUCCUAGUGUAGCGGUGAAAUGCGUAGAUAUUAGGAGGAACACCAGUGGCGAAGGCGGCUUACUGGACUGUAACUGACGUUGAGGCUCGAAAGCGUGGGGAGCAAACAGGAUUAGAUACCCCUGUAGUC